rnacentral:rRNA from 1 species
AUACGGAGGGUGCGAGCGUUGUUCGGAAUCAUUGGGCGUAAAGCGCGUGUAGGCGGCUUGGCAAGUCGGAUGUGAAAUCCCGGGGCCCAACCCCGGAACUGCAUUCGAAACUGCUUCGCUAGAGUCCCGGAGAGGAAGGCGGAAUUCCCGGUGUAGAGGUGAAAUGCGUAGAUAGCGGGAGGAACACCAGUGGCGAAGGCGGCCGUCUGGACGGUGACUGACGCUGAGACGCGAAAGCGUGGGGAGCAAACAGGAUUAGAAACCCCAGUAGUCC